CUCUGACUAAGCCGAACCAAGAGUCCGAAGACAGCCAGAACAUUGCUCACAAAAUCUAGCUCACAUUUAUAUAGGCUUCUUCGCAGAAGGUGACCCAGUGGGAUUGUAGAAGAAAUGAAUACAAGAUGUAGACAAACAAGGACAAAAGCCCAGUGACACUGUUGAAAGCACUAGGCGACCACUGUCUUCUAACAACUUAUGUGCCAUGUUCGGAACCAGCAGCUUCUCAGGGGGAGGAGGGAAACUUGAUAGACUGUAUCCAAGAUGUGUGGGAAAGAAUUAAAAGCCAACAAUAGUCAAUACAGUCCUAAGGAAACAACAAAGAAUGGGAACCUGCUCUCCCAGGCAAUAGUACUCAUUACUUUAUUUCAUCAAAUCUAAGGUGACCAAGUUGGAAGGUGCACCAUCAUUUAUGUGUCA